GCGGAGAUAGCUCAGUUGGUAGAGCAGUAGCCUUUUAAGCUAUUGGUCCUGGGUUCGAGUCCCAGUCUCCGUA
rnacentral:tRNA from 1 species